rnacentral:rRNA from 1 species
GUGGGGAAUUUUGGACAAUGGGCGCAAGCCUGAUCCAGCCAUUCCGCGUGCAGGAUGAAGGCCUUCGGGUUGUAAACUGCUUUUGUACGGAACGAAAAGCCUCUGGUUAAUACCCGGGGGUCAUGACGGUACCGUAAGAAUAAGCACCGGCUAACUACGUGCCAGCAGCCGCGGUAAUACGUAGGGUGCGAGCGUUAAUCGGAAUUACUGGGCGUAAAGCGUGCGCAGGCGGUGAUGUAAGGCAGUUGUGAACUCCCCGGGCUCAACCUGGGAACUGAAUCGGUGACUGCAUUGCUGGAGUGCGGCAGAGGGGGAUGGAAUUCCGCGUGUAGCAGUGAAAUGCGUAGAUAUGCGGAGGAACACCGAUGGCGAAGGCAAUCCCCUGGGCCUGCACUGACGCUCAUGCACGAAAGCGUGGGGAGCAAACAGGAUUAGAAACCCUGGUAGUCC